rfam:Brachypodium distachyon strain Bd21 chromosome 1, whole genome shotgun sequence.
UUAAUACUUCCUCAGUCUAACAAAAGAUGUCUCAAGUUUGUCAAAUUUGAAUGUUUCUAGACAUGACUUAGUGUAUAGAUGCAUUCAAAUUUAGUCAAAAUUGAGACAUCCUUUGUCGGACGGAGGAAUAUAUU